rnacentral:lncRNA from 1 species
AUUGGCUCAUAAAACCUGGACCUGCCUACGAUGUAAACUGAGGCCACUUUAGGGAAGCCAGAGGAAGAUAUCUUGCUGUGAAAUGUGGUCUCCUGUCUGGGGAUAAGUAGAAGAUGCUGUAGAAGCAGAAGGUUCUGGCAUUGUCUGGAAAUGGUUCCUUCAGCCAUAUCAAGUGUGUGUAUAAAACAGACCCCAGAAAAGCAGAGCUGCUAAAGAACUGUGUCUGCAUGCUUUCAUUGACAUUUGGUGACCUUUCUUUGUGCACCCAGCCUAACCUCUUAGGUUAUUUCCUGGCCUCCCUUCUGUGACCUAUGACCGAGGCUGACCUUUAGCUGGAGAAUGUGACAUUUUGUUCUCCUCUAGCUGACAUGUGAUGCUCUCAUUAUUCAAAGCCUCUGUGGGAAACCAGCAAGCUGGAUUCAUCAACCCCACCUGAGUGGUGAAGGCGUACAAUUUAAAGAGUUGCAAAACUCCUACUUUCCUUUCUCCCACACUGGGAAGCCAUUGCUUCUCCUGGGCACGGCAAUGUUUUCACAUCACAGGGAACAGAUCCUGUGAGUGCUAUCAGGCCACCUGUAUCCUAAUGUGCGAAAGGUCCAAAAGGAGCAGUGGGUUCCUUGAAUGACAUAAUCUCAUGAAGCUCAAGCCAGCCUUCCUUCAACUUGUUAUGCACCCUUCACUGUCUCUGAACUCUUGAUGCUCCUGUUUCUAUGUCCCAAGAGCAGGGGACAACAGGCACAUGUUACUAUAACCCCCAAAGGUUUUGUAUAGUGAAAUCUUAAUGAAAAUAAAGCCAUAGUUGGUUUCCA